GACGAACGCUGGCGGCGCGCCUAACACAUGCAAGUCGAACGAGCGAGAGAGAGCUUGCUUUCUCGAGCGAGUGGCGAACGGGUGAGUAACGCGUGAGGAACCUGCCUCAAAGAGGGGGACAACAGUUGGAAACGACUGCUAAUACCGCAUAAGCCCACGGCUCGGCAUCGAGCAGAGGGAAAAGGAGCAAUCCGCUUUGAGAUGGCCUCGCGUCCGAUUAGCUAGUUGGUGAGGUAACGGCCCACCAAGGCGACGAUCGGUAGCCGGACUGAGUGGUUGAACGGCCACAUUGGGACUGAGACACGGCCCAGACUCCUACGGGAGGCAGCAGUGGGGAAUAUUGCACAAUGGGGGAAACCCUGAUGCAGCGACGCCGCGUGGAGGAAGAAGGUCUUCGGAUUGUAAACUC
rnacentral:rRNA from 1 species